rnacentral:tRNA from 1 species
GGAUAGCUCAGCUGGUUAGAGCAUGGUGAUGAUAAUGCCAAGGUUACAGGUUCGAUCCCCAUAUGAAACA